UACGGAGGGUGCAAACGUUGCUCGGAAUCAUUGGGCGUAAAGCGCACGUAGGCGGCCUGUUAAGUCGGGUGUGAAAGCCCUGGGCUCAACCCAGGAAGUGCACUCGAAACUGGCGGGCUUGAAUAUGGAAGAGGGUCGCGGAAUUCCCGGUGUAGAGGUGAAAUUCGUAGAUAUCGGGAGGAACACCGGUGGCGAAGGCGGGUCUCUGAGCCGAAACUGACGCUGAGGAGUGAAAGCGUGGGGAGCGAACAGG
rnacentral:rRNA from 1 species